rnacentral:rRNA from 1 species
UACGUAGGGUGCGAGCGUUGUCCGGAAUUAUUGGGCGUAAAGAGCUCGUAGGCGGUCUGUCGCGUCGAUCGUGAAAACUUGGGGCUUAACCCUGAGCUUGCGGUCGAUACGGGCAUGACUGGAGUUCGGUAGGGGAGACUGGAAUUCCUGGUGUAGCGGUGAAAUGCGCAGAUAUCAGGAGGAACACCGGUGGCGAAGGCGGGUCUCUGGGCCGAUACUGACGCUGAGGAACGAAAGCUAGGGGAGCAAAUGGG